AGUUUGAUCAUGGACUCAGGACGAACGCUGGCGGCGUGCCUAACACAUGCAAGUCGAACGAGGUCCAUCCUUCGGGAGAAGACCUAGUGGCGAACGGGUGAGUAACACGUGAAGAACCUGCCCCGAAGACCGGGAUAACCCUCCGAAAGGAGAGCUAAUACCGGAUACCCCCACCGAACCGCAUGGUUUGGUGAGGAAAUGGAUUCCGCUUCGGGAGGGCUUCGCAGCCUAUCAGCUAGUUGGUGGGGUAACGGCCCACCAAGGGCAUCGACGGGUAGCUGGUCUGAGAGGACGAUCAGCCACACUGGGACUGAGACACGGCCCAGACUCCUACGGGAGGCAGCAGUGGGGAAUCUUGCGCAAUGGGCGAAAGCCUGACGCAGCAACGCCGCGUGGGGAUGAAGGCUCUCGGGUUGUAAACCCCUUUCAGCAGGGACGAAUCAAGACGGUACCUGCAGAAGAAGCCCCGGCUAACUACGUG
rnacentral:rRNA from 1 species